CAUCACAAGGCUUCAAACCGGCUUCCCAACGUGAGAAACGAAAUCAAAACCUCCCAAUUAGCAGCUGAACAACAAAAACUUAUUCUCAAAAAGGAAUAACAAGCAUAGUAGAAUGUCCUUGCCAGCAAGUGAGAACUGAUUCGUUCCCACCCUCCACCGUUCCCUUUGCACAAACAAUUCUCACAGCCACAACGUGGAUUGCUGUCUCAAUCAAGGAGACCCGCAGCUCCCACUUGGCCGGAGGAACACUCAAAAAGCUAAGCGGUGAUGAAACUGCGGAGGGGCGCCCGACUGGCUCAGCUGGUGGAGCAUGUGACUCUUGAUCUCCAGGUUGUGAGUUUGAGCCUCAUGUUGGGUGUAGAGAUCACUU